AGGGUGUUACUACUGUAUUAAGGAUCUUGUAGGGCAUGGAAAUCAAGAUUCCGCACACGUUUGCACGUGGUACAGCUGAGGAUUGAAGCCUGGGAUGGAUAUGUACCAACCGUAGAACCUGCCAUGAGCAUAGCUUCAAGAAGGCAGGGACAGUGUCUGCCUUGUUCACAGCUGCAGCUCCGGUAACUAGUUCAGAGCCUGUACAUCCUGGGAAUCAAGAAACAUGUCUGAGGAAAGGAAGGAGGAAAAGAAGGAAGAAUGGAAGGAAAGCUGAAUGGUAAUAAAGAAAAUUUAGACAAUGAACUUCUCUCAAAUGAGAGAGAAGAGUCUGAAUCUGCUCUCAGUGGAACCUAUCAUUUCUGACCUCGGAGAGGUAAUAAGAGGCUUCAAGUGCUUUGUUCUUUAAGUAACUGGCCACUGUGUACAUUGUUUGGUCAUGGGUUGUGGAAAAAUCCCCCCGAGUCAGCUCCAAGGAACAAAACGUGGUUGCUUAGACUGUUCAAACCUUCAAAACUAGUCUUCUCAAAAGGCUUGGGCCUAAAGAACACUUGUGUGACCUACAUGUUGUUUGCCAUUGUCACUGACAGAGAACAAAGGAAAGGGAAGAACCCUUUGAUUGGUCUGCAUCUCAAUAACCUGAAAUGUCUGCCCCACUGCUCAUUUUAAAAGGAGCAAGAGUAGAUCUACGUGGUGUUCCAGGUUAGGAUGGUGGAGCGAGCCGCACAGCUAAUGCUGCUCCUCCGCAACGUUCCACUAAGACCAGAGGAAAGGGAUGUUCUUUAAAGAGCAAAACCCACAGGAAAGACAAUACAAGGGCAGUGAAACUUCGGAAUCUGGAAAGCAGAUUGACAACUGGCAACACCAUAUACUUCUGUUCUGUACAGAGGGUGUGGAGAGGAGGCUAGAACAGCAAGGUGUCUAAAACAGGAAAGACUGGGUGAAAGCUGUCCCACUGGGUUAGAUCUCUACGUCUCCACUCCAUUGCACAUUGCUAUGGUUGAAUAGAUAGAGUAUUUACGUUCAAUAUGUGCAUAUCUCAACUACAUAGUAUAGUAGUUUAUUCUCAGGAGUAGAUAGAGCAGGCCUCCGGACUGUGGGACAUCAGGCACACGUGAGAGCAGAUGUAUUAUUCUCACACCAAACACAGACAGACUGCAUGACCGAAUGCUAGAUGCUGAGGACUUCUCUCUCUUCCUCGGCUUGGCUCCCAGAAUGCCAGAAGCCCUACUACUUCCCUCUAGGCAGGAGAUUAGAAGGUUAUUUUCUGCUAAACAUAACCAACCUAGGAGGAAAGAUUUUAAAAUAUUGACAUCAGGAGUUCACCAACAAACAGCCCAUCCAGAACACCUGAGAGUGUCACUCACAGUAAACAAGCCUCACAUAUAAGAAAGGAUGACCAGAUACUUGAGGGAGACCUCUAACAUGGAAGACAGAGGCCAAAACCAACAAACGGAAGAAAGGAACUUGGAGAAAAUAGAGACUAUAGAAAGAGAAGAAACCUUCAACAAAACUAUUAGUAUCCUCAGAGAAAUCAGAAGAAAUGAUUACCCUUGUGAAACUAGAAAAUGGUACUACACAAAACGGAAAUUCAAAGUAAAAAGAGAUCUUGAAAGUUAAAAAAUAGCUGAAAUGAAAAAAUUCGAUAGAAGAAUUGGAAGAUAAAGUUGAAGAAAGUUCUGAGGAAGUAGAGCAAAAAGACAAAAGAGAAGGAAGACAUAAGGAAAAUCAAAGGAGCAGAACUGAAGGGCCAACACCUGAGUAAUGGAUGUUUUUUCCAGGAAAAGAGCACAGAGGCAACAAAGUGAAAAAUCAUUAACAAAAUAAGUUAACAAAAAUUCUCAUAACUGAAGACAGGAGUUGCCAGGUAGAAGGGGCCCCCUAAGUGCCUCCCCAAGAAAAUUUGAGUAGAUCUAUGUCAAGGAACAUCAUCGUGAAAUUUCAGAACACUGGGGACCAAGAGAAGGGUCUAUCAGCUUCCAGAGGGAAAAAAAGGUUACAUACAAAGGAUCAGGAAUCAGAAUGACUUCAGAUUUCACAACUGCAGCAAGACAAGGGAGAAAGACCUUCAAAAUUCUCCAGGAAAAGUCUUCCUACUGCAAUUCUAGAUUCAGCCAAACUGUCAAACACAUAUGAGGGAAGAAUAAAGACACUUUCAGAUAUGCAAAGUCUCAAAAACUUAAUUCCCAUGUACUCUUUCUCAAGAGCGUAGUGAGGAUAUACUCCUACCAAAAUCUAAGAAAAAAAAUCAAGAAAGGGGAAGAGUGCUGAAGAGUUUGUUUCUGCACCCUAACCAGUGUUAUCAGAGGCUCACUUGUAUGGACUGUUCAACCAACAGAGUCGCCAGCAGGAGAUGUGGAGGAGAGGAGGCCGAAGGCAGCUCGGGGCCCUGUCAGGAUAAAGAGGCCUCUGAGGUACCAUAGCAUGCAUUCUACCACUCAUUUCUCAGGGAUUUCUCUCUCUCCCUCACUUUCUCUUCUGCCUUCUUAAUUCUCUCCUACUUUCUUACUCUUUCGCCCCCUCCUUCAAUGAGCGAUCUUUGACAUAGCCUCCAUCACCACGCUUAACCAUGAAAAGGGCAGUGAGGCCAAAAGAGGCAAGGCAGCACAACGGAUAACAGAGCAUGGAUUAUGGAGUUAGACAACACCGGGUUCAAGCUCUAGUUCUGCCAUUUAAAAGAGGGAUGACCCCAGGCAAAUUACUCACCUUUACUGUAAUACAAGAAAAAGAAAGAUCAUUGUAUCUACUUCAUGUACAGGUUGAUUAAAUGUGGUAACAAAUGUAAAAUCUUAGAAUAGUGAGUGGUAUAUUAAGCUCUCAAUAAAUGGUAGCUAUAAUUAACAUAAAUUAAAAGUGCCAUUCCCCCAGGACAGCCAGAUUGCUCCCAAUUCCCCAGUUUACAAACAUAACAAAAAACAUCUUUAUGUGGCAUUUAUGGUAGUCAAUAGUACUAUCCUCCAAAUGUUUCCAGUCUCAUUUCUCAGCACAUGGUAAGAUGUACUUCCUAGCUAUUUACUUUCACCUUGAAGGUAGAUGCAGCCAAGAGACUGCUUUGGUCAAAGAAAUAUGAGUUGAAUUGAUUUAUACUACUUGCGGGUGAAAGUACCUUCCCCUUUAACUGUUGCAUCUUGUAAGACAGUAAUAUUGUAUUAUCAUAGUGCACAUUUUGGGCACAGGUAUCAUUUCUUAUAUUAUACAUAAUCACAUCACCAAUGUAGCCAGCGUCAAUGGAUUGAUUCCAGAAGUUUGAGUGAUCUUUCCUAUGCAAUUAUGUAACAUUGUAAUGUGUCUACUUUAGUAUUUCAUGCAAACAGCAUGAGCUCCAGUUAUACCUAUUUCAGCAGUAAUCCACCCUGCCAAUCUCUGUCUUUUACCUGGUGCAUUUAGACCAACAUUUACAGUAAGUCUGGGCGUGUGGGCUCGAGCCUGCCAUUUGUUGCCUGUUUGCUACGUUUCCCUUUUCUUGCCUUCCUGUAGAUCACUUGAAAAUAUUUUAGAAUUACGCUUUGUUUAUCAUAUUUUUGAGUAUAUUUCUUUGCAUACUUUUCUAAACGGGUGCUGUGGAGAUUACAGUAGACAUGCAUAACUUCUCACGGUCUACUAGUGUCAGCAUUUUAUCACUUUGAAUGAAGCAUAGAAACUUUACUUCCAUUAAGUUCCUUUACUCUCUCACUUUUUUUAAGUGAAAUUUUUAUUGAGAUACCUGUAUAUUCACACGAAAUUAUAAGAAAUAAUAGAGAUCUGUUGCACACUGAUUCUAGUUUCCCCCAAUGGUAACUUUUCACAAAACUACAGUGUUAUAUCACAACCAGGAUAUUGGAUACACCCCACCAAUCAGAUUUCUUAGUUUGACCGGCAUUCGUGUGUGGGGUUUAUGUAUUAAGUUUUAUACAAUUAUAUCAACUGCGUAGGUUCACGUAUCCAACAACACAGUCGAGACAUUCAACAGUUUCAAGAACACAGUGACGGCUCAUAUUGCCCUUUUAUAACCUACUCUCCUUCCUCCACCCACCGCCCCAUCCCUAACCCCAGGCAACCAUUUGUCCUGGCAAUAUGCCUUGCAUUCUAAAAUGUUUCCACUUUAAAAAUGUUAUAUAAAUCAAACAAUAUAGUAUAUAACCUUUAGGAUCGGGUUUUUUUCUCUCAGCAUAAUUCUCUAGAGAUUUAUCCCUUCUCGCUUUUAAACGUAAUGUCUCAAGUAUUACACUGAGCACUCGCAGAUGGUAUAAUAAUCGUCAAAUCCUGUGGUAGGCAGAAUAUCCCCUCCCUCAGAGAUAUCCACAGCCUAAUCCCCAGAGCCAGUGACUAUGCUACACAACAUGGCAAAGGGGAAUUAAGGCAGCAGAUGGAUAAAGGUUGCUACUUAGCUGACCUUAAAAUGGAAAGAUUAUGCUAGAUUAUCAAAGUGAGCCCAAUGUAGUCAUAGGAUCCUUAAAAGUGGAAGAGGGAAGCAGAAGAGAGAACCAGAGAGAUGACAGUGUGAAGAGGACUCGGCCAACAUUACUGGCUUUGAAGAUGAGGAAGGGAGCCAAGAGACAAGGAAAGCAGGUGGCCUCUGGACGCUGAGGAAGGUAAGGAAAUGGAUUCUCUCCUGGAGUCUCCAGAAGAAACACAGCGCUGAUGACACUUUGAUUUUAGUCUAGUGAGACCCAUUUUGGACUUCUGACCUUAAGAACUUUAAGAUAAUAAAUUGUACUGUUUAAGUCAUUAUUGUGGCUAUUUGUCACAGCAGCAAGAGAAAACUAAUACAACUAUCAAACAUGAUUUAAAAACUCAUGGGAUGAAGAAUAGUGUAUUAUAUUUGCCCCUAUUUUUAUCCAUUCCAUUGUUCCUUCUUCCUUUCUGAUGUUCUAGGCCUACUGUUAUCAUUUCCUUUAGAGAAUCUCCUUUAGCCAUUCUUUAAACAUAGGUCUGCUGGCAACAACUUCUCCUAGUUUUCCUUUGUCUGAGAGGUAAUUAAAUUUAAAUACCCAGUAUUCUAACUAUAAUAUAAUUAAAUCAUUUUUGGCUUAAAAAAUAAGUGAACCUAUAUAAAGCAUGAAAUGAAAGCAUACUACUGAUGCAGAAUCAAGUGGAGAUACAGAAACUAGUACAACUGGACACUUUAAAAAAAGAGACUAGGGGGCUGGCUGUGUGGCCGAGUGGUUAAGUUUGCGUGCUCCACUUUGGCGGC